UAAUAUGUAGUUCUUUAUUAUUAUCAUUUUGACUUGUGUAAAAUUCGUGGAUGAAUUUUCUGUGAGGGGGGAAGAAUGUAACACCCUGAAUUUUUAAAUAAUAAUUUUGUGUAGUCACUUGAGUAUUGUCUAGUUUGGCGGGCCUAGGAGGGCCGUAUGAUGUUGUUGCUAUUAUGGUCUUGAGGCCCUGUGUGUUGUGCUUUGUUG
rnacentral:misc_RNA from 1 species